UUAUGAGUUGAAUUAGGUCAAAUUUAAUAAAAGAUAAAAUGAUAUGAUUAUUUUAUUAGUUUUAAAAGUUUGAUCUAAAGAGUUUUAUUUUUUGAAACCUCCAUAAGUUAUGGAUAUGAAAAGGUUUUAAAAAAAAUGAUUCAGAGUUUUUAUGGAGAUACAAAAUUUGGUGUUAAUGUUUUAAAGGAUUCCAUAACUUAAGAAUAAGUUAUGGAUCACCAAAAGUUUUUUUGUGUUACCUUGUUUUAUGAGUGAAUUUAGAUCCCUAUUCUAAUAAAAGAAUAGUUUUAAUGUCCUUUUGACAUGUGUCAUCCUAUUAAGCCUCCUAAUUAAUGCAUAUUUUAUUUUACUUUUGCCAUGUGUCCCCCUAUUAGGCUUCUUUAUUAAUGCAUGUCAUUUAUCAACCUAUUAAUUCUCAAUUUUAAAUUUUAAAUUUUAAAUUUCUCACUCUAAUUACAUUAUUUUAUUUACAUUAGAAUAAAAAUUAAAUUAAAAUUAAUACAAAUUAUAAAGUGAUGUAAUUUCACAUAUUUAUUUAAAUUAACAAUUAUAAUUUUAUAUAACUAAAAAAAUAUCUCCUACUUAAUAAUUUAUUUCAAAUAAUUGAUUGAUAAUUUUAAGUUUUCACUAUAAUAGUUUAAUUACUUUUAUAAUCGUGGUUCCCACGGGUUAUAAACUAGUUAAUGAAUAAAAUUAUGUGAUAGUUGGUUUUAAUCCAAAUUAAUCUAAAAGAAGUUCAUAAAAUGUGUUUAUGUAAACUAUAAGUCACAUUUAUGAAUAUUAAAACUCAUAAAAGUUGUCAUAGGUUACAAAAUGAAGAGUCUUUUUCCACAUUAAAUUGUUUUAUGACUCCAUAACUUGUCCUCAAGUUAUGGAUGUUCAAGAGUCACUUCAUUAAAGUUUUUAAAACUUUAAUUAAACUCAUAAGUUAUGAAAAUCCAAGAGUUUUGAAUAGUUUCAAAACUUGCCCUCAAGUUUUGGAAUUUGUAAAGUUUUCCCCAUGAAUACUUUAAUUCCAAGUUAGCCCUUAGAAUUUUAAAAGUUAAAAUUCAACCCUUAUACUUUAUAAUAUUAUAAGUUAAUAAUAUUUAUAUACAUGUAUAAGAGUAAAGUCAGUCUUACCGUUUGUAGGCCUCAUUCACGAAGCCGGUCUAUAAGGGGGGUAUAAGGUUACUGCCUAUAAAAUGGCAGUUUAAUGGGUGUCCACUCUCACCCACCGCUUCCUUGACCGGUGGAGGGUCGUUAGCCGAACGGGUAGGACAAGGACUAGAAUUCUCCCUUCAUUAAAAGUAUUAAUGAUAAAUACUAAGUAACUAAACCUUUUAUUAAUACCCAAUCUUAGUUACUUAGGAAAAUGUGAAUAAGGUGCUAAUCCAUGAAAUUACACUUUGCACUUUGUUUAAGUCGGUUAGUGGAGCGUGUGUGGUUAACCGGCACACUAACUCGUAUUUAACAAGGUAGGCAAAGGGUAACUUAAUGUUUAUCAUAGUAUCGAUGGAGCGUGUGUGGUUAACCGGCACAUCGAUUGAGGGGUAAACACUUAAGGGUACCAAGUAAUUUGCAUGGUUACUUCACACCUUGUUUUGUGAUCCUCGGCAUCCCAGUCACAAAACCUGAAGGGCACACUCGAGAUUGAAACAUGCCAUUGAACAGUUCAAUGAAUCUCAAAGAUCUAGGAGUUUCAAAACCAAUUAAAACCUAAUAAUACAUUUCGUUUAUCUUGGUGGAAAUUGGUGAAUCGUCAUUCACCUACCUUCAAAUAUUUUAUAGCUUGGAUUACGGCAUACCUCUUCUAAGUUAUAAAAUAGUUUGUUGGGUCCUAGCCUUAAUAUUUCAUAUUGGGUGUCAUAUUAAGGACUUUAAAUCAACUAUCUUGAAUAUCUCCCAAAAGAUGUCUGGUUUAGACACCUAUGAUCUUCCCAAAUCUCUUGAAACAAGGUUUCCUAAUGAAGAUGAUGUCCCAUGGAUAUCAUACUUCUUCACCUCUUCAAAUUAUUCUCCCUAACCCACAAGUUCUUGAAAAGUUUAAGGUCACUCAGGCCCUAUUGGCAAGGCAAGGUCUAGGUGUGGUCACAUCUUGGAGAUGUAGUCACAUAUUGACAAGCCGGGAGAGUUGGGUGUCAAAGUCUUGAGAAAGUUGGUGGUUCAAUCACUUUCUAAGUCACAUAGUGAGUUCCUUUGGGACACCUAUGAAACAGACUAUGACAAGACCCUUAAUGAUCUUAUCUAUUUGUUAAGAUCAACUUCCUUAAAACUUGAUGGACAUUGACAAUAGUGACACAGGAAAUCCAGAAAAGCAUUCUCUUCCCAAUGGAAAGGGAUCGGCCAUAGUCAACUCGGUUGACCAAAUGGUAAAGAGAAAAGCUAAGUCUGUGAUAGUCCCGUGUACCAUUAUCAAAGGGUCCAUAUGUUUAUAUUGCCAAAGGAAGGGGCAUUGGUUGCGAAGCUGCCAAAUUUACCUAAGGAUGUUAAAGUCAAUAAGUUUGACUCUACUUCAGGUAAAGUCCACUAUCUAACUCUGUUAAGUUUCUAUUCUGAGAUUCUUGAUACAUGAUGUGACUGGGUCACAUGGUGAUGUUUUAAGAAUCAAAGAAAAGUGAAGAAACUUAAAGAAAGAAUAUGCUGAAUCUGAUCGCGUAGAUGGAUUUCUAUCGCAUAGUUUGAAGAUCGGAUUCUUGAGCUACUUCUUAGGAGUUAUGAGAUAUUGCUUAGGAAUAGAUAACAACAAGUUUUCAUAUGGAUUGUAAGGAUAAGUUUUUCCGCAAAGUUUUAAAAUAAAAGAAAAUUUUUUAUAUUUUAUUUAUUUUAAAAUAUCCUUACAAUGGCAUUUGAGGAAAAAUUGUUGCUUAUAUGAUUCCAUUAAGAGCAAGAGUGGAAAUAUGAAAUUGAUUCUUUCAUUUGUGGUAAUGUCUAAAUUUACCAAAUAAGGAAAGAUUCUCAUCACCCAAGUUUCAAUUGGACCGGAACUUGGAAUCAUGCAAGUUGUAUAGCAUGAUGAAUGAGAACUUUCAAGUUUUGGAAAAUUAAGACUAAUUACUUGUUCACAUGGAUGUGUGAGUCAAGUAAAGGACUUAGGGAUCGAGUACACAUUCUUGUGCACUGAUUAAGUCCACCACAAAAGAUCGAUAAGAAGAAUCAAAUAAGGCAGAAGGAUAAAAGUUUCUCAAAUCUGAAAAGAUGGGAGAGUACUUUAGUAUCAGUUUUGUGAUCAUCUUAAUGAUUAAGAAACCAUAUCAAAAUUAGUUCUCUAAGGAAAUCUUAGUGCAUUCUUAUGACUAAGAAGAGGAACUUGAAUUGUUGAAAUGGUUAAAUCAAGAAGAUGAGUCAUACUUCGUUCCAAUACAAGUCUUAGAGUCAUACUCCAAGAUUGUCAUUUGAGUGACAUGUCUUAAAGAAGGUUUAAAACACUUGUCAAAUGUAAGAGUAAAAGUUUUCUACUCUUGUACAUUUGAAAUUGGUAAGUUGUGAUGUUUUGGAUAAAACAAAGACCAACUUAGGCCAAUUGGGUAAAGUGUUUUUCUUGAUUAGAAUCCGCACUAUCUCUUGGAUGUUUGACAAGGGAGUCUUAUAUGUCAAGAGGACAGUGGGAGUCUUAAAGGUCUUGAAAGUCUCAAGAAAUAAUCAAGAAUAAAACCUAAAGUUCUUCACUAGCACACGACUUGAGGUUCAUAACCUAUCGUGUUGACAUAUUCUGUGCCCAUUCCAGUUAAAGUUGGUUUUGCAUAUGAGUUCUUAGAGUUCUCAAUUUGUUGCACAACAACUUGGAAGCAAUGGCAGGCCCUUGAGCUGCCAGGUGGCAAGAAGUUAAGAUUGAGUUCAAUCCAUAUGGUUUUGGAUUUGUCAUUAUCUUUGUCUUGUGAUUAUGGUUUGACAAAUUCAUAUGGGUAGGAACUCAUACACCAUAUAAAUCUAAGUGUCAUAAGGUUUCUCUCCGAUUCAUGAAAAUGAUGGUGAGGAAACGCUUUCACUAAGUAGAUUUUACGAAGAUAUCAAUUGUGUUAUUUGCAUUUUCAAAAGUCGUUAGUGGAGCGCGUGUGGUUAACCGGCACACUAACAUGGACUUGUGAGAAAUGGCAAAUGCCUAAGCAAUUGAGACCAUGAUUACGGUAUCCCUUUUCAUGGUUCUUGAAAUUGCUUAGACACACAGGUGAGCUAUCUACGGAAAGGGUGUAUGAAUCUAAAUUUCAGACUGUCCAGCUGAUUUCUGAGUACAUGUCAAAGCUAGUGGGAGCAUAAGUGUUAUGCUAAUAAUCAUCAUGUUAGUGGGAGCAUGAUAAUUAUGAUAAGUAUUGCAAGUUAGCAAUGUUAAUUAUAGAAAACAAAAGUUUCAAUUGGGAAAAAGUUGUUUUGCUAUAAUUAAGGGAGAGGAAAUUAUGCUUCAUCUCAAAUCUAUAAGCUUAGAUCGUGAGGUUUUAAUCAUUUAGUCAAGGAUAUAUAUGAAUUUCAUGUUGGAAUGGCUCAACAUAAGGAAAUUCUGUAUAUGGGUCCAUUAUUUGCGUUCUAAAAUUCGAUUAUGAUUACGGCAUCCCUUUUCAUAAUCUGAAUUAUGAGAACUUGGCAAAUUGAAAUGGAAAUAUUAUAGCAAAAGACUGGUUUAGUCUUUAUGUAAGACAUCAUGAAUCGUGUCCCAUAUGCUUCGGAUAUAGGAUCGAUUACAUGUGCUAUAUUCAUCCGUUCUAAAAUUUUCCAAAUGCCUGGGGCAUUAAGAAGGGAAAAGGUUUAGAACUGGAUAUGACUAAAAGGAUUAAACAAUUGUCGAGGACAAUCUAAGGUUUACCAAAGAUUGGUUACUCAAGGACAAUUGGAAGUAUAGUGAUAAUUCUGGAAGGACCAUAUUGACAUAAUCUGUAAGGAGGCAACUCUUGUUCAGAAGUGAUAGUCAAAAUGGAAUCUGGAAAUGUUUCAAAGUUAGAAUUUUCAAUCUGUGUAAGAUUAAGGAAACUUAAUGCAAGAAGGAUAUUUCCAAGGAGUUGAUCUCCUUUGGAAUACUCUGUAAUGAUUGUUGCCAAGUCUUUGUGACUUUGUGCAUAAUCAUUACAAGAGGAUCAAUGCAUAUAAGUUUAGAAUCUAACAGAUUUCAGUAAAUGGCAUGAAUUUGGAAUUCUUGCAUUUGCAGUAAGGAUUUGGGAGUGUGAAAAGAGAAUCAUUGAAGUUAUGUUCAAUUGAUCUAGUUCACAAAGUAAAGAUCAUAGACAAACAUAGUAUGCAUACUUGGUGUGUGGCAUGACUAGUGUUUAAGAAAACAUAGUGUACAUGCUUGGAGCAUGGGACAACUAUUGUUUUAAAUUCAAGAAUAAAGUUGAUAGCUGAAACAGUAUACAAUGAAUAAUGUGUAAUCAUAUGGUGAUAAAUAAAAGGUGUUUUAUUUAUGUUCAAAGGGUUGAUACCAUAUUGGAUUCAAUUAUUAUUGUGUUUCAUUUUGCAUGUUUUGACUUCCCGAAUAAACUGGGUUAUUCUUCCGGAAUGACUAAGUUAUUCAAACCAUCCACAGUCGGUCAUAUGUUGGAAGUAGAUAUGAAUUAAGACUGUCAUGGGUUGGCUUGUAGAGGUCUAAGGUGUUGGACAAAGGGCUACAACACUCAUGAGUGCUCAUAAGUUCUGAGUAUUGGAUUCAACCCGCGCUCAUUGGAAUCACUUCAUGGAUUUUAUCACGAGUGAUCAUGAGACGAUAAUAUCUUAUAUUCUUCAAACCUAGAGAUAUGAGUUGUUACUAUGAGUUGAUAGUACAUUGAUUGCACGAAAACGCAUUUGGUAACUCGGUGCUAUAAAACGUGCCUUUGUGUAUGAUUCAACAAGUAGUAGAACAAGCCAUAUGAGUCGAAGUUUAUCCAUUCCUUUUACCUUCGGGAUAAAAGCGAUAUCUGUGGGCCCCUCGAUGAUUUGAUGAUGACAAAUGGAAGUGCUCGGCCGGGCCAGGACUGAUUUGAUUUGUUCAAUUAGUCAGUCGUCAUAAAUCGGAAAUCGGGAAACAACAAAUGGACAGAGAGAAUGAUUAUAAUCCAUGUCUCAGUCCAUAUGAUAUCUAGAAUGGAGGAAUAUAUGAUCCCUUAUCUAAUGGACAAGUCAUUGACAAAGGUCAGAGUUCAUCUACAAGGUCAGAGUUCGACACAAGCUUUUGAGAGCUACAAUUGCCAGUCAGUUCUUGAAGUCAUACGCAAUAAUAGUUUUAGACUUAUCCAAGUGGGAGACUGUUGGAUUAAUGUCUAAGUCCAUAACUAUAAUUGGUAAGACUUGACCCGACCCGGCAUGGUCCAUUUGGGUUGCAUACCAUCAUGCACUUGGAUAGACUAUAAUGAGAGAAAUAAGACACUUAUGGUUAUUAAUAUAUUAUAAGUUCUAGUAUAUUAAUAAUAAGAAUAAUAAGAUUAUUUAAUUAGUAUUGAUCAAGAAUUAAUCUAGGAUUAAUUAAGUGAUCAAAAGAAGACUAAUUAAAUAUAUGGGUUGAUUGUGUAAAUCAUCCAUACUUGUAUAGUGGGCUAAUGCUCCAUGGAUAAUCAAGUUGGGCUAAAACCCAUAGGAUGGUCCAUGGAUGCUCCAUGGUGUAUUUGUACCCAUGGAUCCNCAUCAAAGAGGUGUAUAUUCUAUCUUGUUAUAUUCAUUGUUUGUAUGCUAGAUUAGGAUAAUACCUUGGAAAGUUCAUAUUUGCAUGUAUAAUAGAGAAAACAUAGAUCCAAGGUAUUUAGGGUUGCAUGUACACUUAGGAGUGUUAGAAUGCUCAAAACCCAACAAGGGAACCCAUACCCUACGAUGCAAUGUCAAUAACCCUCGGUUUUCAUAAUCGAAGAAGGAAACCUGUCCCACAAUAUGCUCGCUCUUCCGAUGUUCCUCCUUCAUAGCCUCCUGCUAGGCCUCUCGAAUCUGCUCCAACAACGGAGUCACCCCGGUCAUCCUCAUGCAGAUGUCUCUGAUCGGCGCUUUCUUGAGGCUAAGCGCAUCGGCCACAACAUCGGCUUUCCCCGGGUGGUAAAGGAUCUCACAAUCGUAAUCCUUCACCACAUCUAACCACCGGCGCUUCCUCAUGUUCAGAUUCGUCUGAUCCAUGAGGUACCUCAAACUCUUGUGAUCCAUGUAGAUGGUACAACGGACCCCAUAGAGAUAGUGUCGCCAAAUUUUGAGGUCGAAGACGACCGCCCCUAACUCCCAAUCAUGCGUCGGUAGUUCACCUUCUGAGGCUUCAGUUGCCUCGAGGCGUACACAAUGACAUGCCCUUUUUGCAUCAAAACUACGCCCAAACUCGAAAUGGAUGCGUCACAAUACACCACGAAAUCCUCCACACCCUUGGGCGGGGUGAGGAUCGGUGCCUUGCACAGUCUCAGUCUCAACAUCUCAAAUGUUGCGUGUUGCUCACCCCCCCCCCCAACGGUAAACAACGACUUUCUUUGUCAGUCGGGUUAGAGGUACAGCUAUCUUAAAGAAGUCCUGAAUUAAUCUUCGAUAAUAGCGUGCCAACCCGAGGAAACUCCAAAUCUCAUAUGGAGACUUCAUAACCUCCCACCUCAUCAUGGCCUCCACUUUGGCCGGGUCAACCAAUAUCCCGUUCUGGUUGACAAGGUGCCCCAGAAACUGAACCUCACCUAACCAAAACUCGCACUUGGAGAACUUGGCAUACAAGCUCUCCCUUCUCAAGGUAUCCAAAACCUCUUGCAGAUGCUCCUCAUGCUGCUCCUGUGUCUUGGAGUAAACCAAGAUGUCGUCAAUGAAAACUAUCACAGACCGAUCAACCAUCAGUCUGCACAUGCGGUUCAUGAGGUCCAUGAAUGCGGCAGGGGCAUUGGUGAGCCCGAAGGGCAUCACCACGAACUCGUAGUGGCCAUAGCGAGUCCGAAAAGCGGUCUUCUAUAUAUCCUCGUCCCUAAACCUCAUCUGAUGGUAACCUGACCGCAAGUCAAUCUUGGAAAACCAAGAUGCUCCCUGAAGCUGGUCGAACAAGUCAUCUAUCCUCGGGAGGGGGUAACGACUCUUCACCACUACCUUGUUCAGCUCCCGGUAGUCUAUGCACAAGCGAUGCGACCCGUCCUUCUUCUUGACAACCAGGAUCGGGGCUCCCCAAGACAAACUACUCGGCCUGAUAAACCCUUUGUCUAACAGCUCCUAUAGCUGCGUAGACAACUCCUGCAUCUCGGGAGGAGCCAACCGAUAUGAUGCUUUUGCUAUCGGAGCCACAUCAGGGACUAGGUCAAUCCUAAACUCCACCUGUCGCUUCGGAGGUAUCCCAUGCAGCUCCUCUGGGAAUACAUAUGCAAAAUCUCGCACCACCGGAACAUCGCUCACCAUUGCCUUACCCGCCUCUCGGGUAUCUAUGACAUAAGCGACAUACCCAGUGUAACCUCGCUGUAGAUAGCGCCUAGCCCUCACUGCUGAACAUAAAGUUGUUCCGUGCGGUGGCCUCUCGCCCUGAACCACCAGCUCUCCUCCGCUCGGAGUCCUGAACUAAACCAACUGUUGUGCGCAAUCGAUCACUGCCCCAAUGGAGCUCAACCAAUCCAUGCCUAUGAUAACCUUGUUCCCCCGCAGAGGUAUGGGAACCAACUCUACCAGGUAGCGCUCCUUGAACAACCUCAAAACACGGUCCUUGAAGACCUCCGAUAGUCGCACCAAUCGAUCGUCCGCAAUCUCGACCUCAAAAGGGCCAUCCAACAUACCCGAAGACUCAGGGAACCUCUUGUUAAGCGCAAGGGAGACAAACGAUCGGGUAGCGUCCGAAUCGAACAGCACCUGAACUGGGAUACUGUUCACAUGGAAUGAUCCUAAACAAGACAUAUUACAUGGCACAUCAAAAUCAUAAGCAACAUAAAAUAAAAGCUAGGGAGAAGAAAUCAUACCCAUCACCACAUCUGGUGCAGCGCGUGCCUCCUCGGUAUUCAACUGAAAGGCCCGACUCCUCACCACUGGAGCCUCAGCCUUGCCCUGUCGUCCAUCAGUGAUCUGCAGAGUCGUUAGGGCUGGCGCCUUCACUGGCGCUGCUACUACCAACUGAGGGCAAUUGGCCCUCCUGUGGCCCUUCUAAUUGCAAUGAAAACAAAUCACGUCUGAUGUCUAGAAUGUGGGAGCGGUGUCAGUAUAAUCCCUACGAAAGUGCCCAACCUUGCCACAUUUAUAGCAGCCUGACGACCGCAGUCUUCACGCCCCCUCGUGCGGCUUGCCGCACUUUCCGCAGCGGCUCCAGCCCUGAUGGCCCUUCGACCCAACAUCGGAUCCCUUGGGUUUCUUCCCUGAAACCCCAGUCAUCUGGCCCCCCUCCACCUUCCUCUUCCGGAUGUGCUCCAGAUCAAUCUCCCUCUCCCUCGCCCUGGCAAUCAUAGAAUCCAGGGUCGGACGUGCCGAAAAGCUGACAUGCUCCCAGAUAUCAGCUCUCAACAUGUCAUGAUAGCGGCUCCUCCUCAUAUCCUUAUCCCCUGCGUACUGAGGUACCAAUAACGCCCUCUCUCGAAACUUGGCGGUAAUCUCCGCCACCGUCUCGGUAGUCUGUCUCAUGUCCAGGAACUCCCUAGCCAGCUACUGAAGCUCCACAACCGGCGCAAAAUCUGCCCUAAACCUAGUCACAAAGUCGGUCCAAGUCAUACCCUCUACUGCUGAGGCUCCCAACGAAUCACCAACUGACUCCUACCAAUCUCUUGCCCUGUCCCUUAAACACCUAGUAGCAUAUCGUACCUUCGACCCCUCAAGGCAGAAGCUAGUCAACUGAGCAGACUCCAGGUCUACAAUCCACAUCCUGGAAGCGAUGGGGUCCUUCUCCUCGUGGAAGUUUGGCACAACACAUCCCCUAAAGUCCUUAAAGGACAUUAUACGCGCCCCUGACUGGCUAGAUGUCCAGUAACUCCGAAAUGCCCUGAGGCGAUCCUCAAUCAACUUGAUAAUCCAUUCCUUGAUCGACUUGAAAAUUGUUGGGGUCGACUCAAGCAUGCCUCUCGUGAUCUCAGAAGCAAUGAACUCACGCAGUCCCUCAUCAAUUGGCUCAGCACCCGACCCCAAGCCUGAACCUCCCUCACCAUGUCACGUAAUCAUCACCAUUCUGAAACAAAACACAUAUCUGUUAGAACCCAAACAUAGUCUCGGGGGUCUCACACACCCUACAAGUUCCCUGGUUUCGUCUCAGCCGUCCUUGAAUCGAGUACAAAUCCGCUUCUUUCAGUAGUACGGGCCCAUACUACCUUCCACAUCUAUCCGUACUUUCCUCAAGUAUUGCUUCGGCUCCACCAAGUCCCUUACACUACUACUAUUGCUCCCAGCACUACUCUCAUCCUAGGCUUGCCCUAGGGUAUAUCACCGACCCGCCCCAUCCUCAGCCGCUAAUAGACUUCCCGCCCAUAUCAUCUAACUACCUCAUGAAUAUAGUCACAUGCAGCAGAGAUCAGAUAAUCCUUCAAGUAAAGGACUCAUCCUAAUGACGGUUAGACUCAGACAAGAGCUGCGUAAUAGGGUCAAAUCCAACACUCUGAUAUUAUCCAUCAUGUACCGCAUGUGACUUAGCCUAUUCACUUAAUUGUUAGGUAAUACUGCUAAGAGCCCCACAAAACACAAAGCAAGCAACAUUCGGAUAAUGGAAAGCUAGCCACAUAAUCCAAUCAAACAGUUUUAUUUUCUACUCAGGAAUUUGUACAAGCAUGCAAUUUAUAUAGUUAAAACACAUAUAACAGGCACAUAAGGCAUCCUCCUAGAUCCUUAGUCCUAAUCUAGCAUGUAGUUCUAAUAAACAUAUCAUAGCAUAACAUAAACUUGUAUGGGUAUUUUUGGGUACUUACUUGAGCUCGGCCGGUCGCGCACAUCACACAUAUUGUCCUUUUCAAAGUUCUUUCUCUUUUCAAACUUCUUUUAAAAAAAAAAGCUUUUACAUUUUGAAAAUUUUCAUACCAAGUCCUUAGUUUUAGUUCAGACACCCCCAGGAGUGUGCCCGAAUCCCUCAAACCAAGGCUCUGAUAACAACUUGUAACGUCCCAAAUUUCGAGUCCAAAAAUUUCGUUUUUCAAUUAAGUAAAUUAUAAAAUAUUUUACUAAAAACAUUGUCGAUAUCAAAAUAAGUCCAUAAACCAUCAUAACAUAUCUCGUAUCAUAAGUAGCAAUUAAAUCAGAGUACAAUCCCAUAUAUCUAAAAUGUGAAAUCCUUUGUGAGUGUGAUGUGCAGCUACCGCGCCAGCUCCAUCCCCUUCGCUGAAGAGGUACCUGAAACAAACUGAAAACUGUAAGCACAAAGCUUAGUCAGCUCCCCCAUCAUACCACACAUACAACAACACAUAUUGUUAGGCAUACCGGGGGUGCCCGACCUACCCCAUGCUAGGCAUACCAGGGUCCCCGACCUACCACGCUGAGCAUACCGGGGUGCUCAACCUACCCCUGUCAAACAUAUCGGGGUGUCCGACCUACCCCUCGGUCCUAAAAACCGAACAUGGGGACUAUUCACCUCUUACAACUAUUACCGCAUAUAGCAUAUCAAACUAGCACAUAAACAUUUCAGGCAGCAGCACACCUAGAUGAAUAUCACAAAGACAAUCAUCUAACAUACAACUCCUACUGUUGGGCCAGCAUUGUGGCCUUAGACCCACCGCUACUGGAAGGUAACUCACCUCGUAAACUACGUGUCGAAUCUCGCUGAGGAAAUCUCUAACAGCUGCUUCGAUGGCUUCCGGCUAUCAGCGACACAUAACACUUAAUCAGAGUCUAUAACAUUACUUGGGGGUAAAAUGACCAUUUUACCCCUUGGUCCAAUUUGAUAACAUUCAAACGACCCCACUCAAGCGUAUUACACUCAACACAACCUUGGCCCAUCUAGACUUCCCAAAGGUCCACAGAUGGCCCAAUUUUCCAAAUUAGGCCCAACUCUUCAAAUGGGCCUUUUCUUAAAUUCUACUAAGUCUUUAGCCCAAAACAAAAUAAUCCAAAUGGCCGAACAUGGCCCAAGGUCCCAAUGCUUCUAACUCCAUAUUCCCACGCCCAAACUUAUGCUUUACAGUGGGCUAUGAGGCCCAAAAGUCCAGGCCCAACCUUCUAAGGCCCAAAAACGCAAGAAAUCCAUUCUGCAUGCGUACGUGAGGCGUACCUGGCACGUAUGCCCAACGUACGCUGAUCUUGACCACAUACUGGAAGUUGACCCAGUACGCGCGGUGUACCAGGGAGUACACCCAUCGUACUGAUCAUCUUCCUUGGGACUUCAUUCUUGACUUAAUCCAUUAAGCCCUCACGUCCAAAAUGUAGAUUCAGGCCCUUUUAGACCUCCUAGACCAUAAAGUCCUGAACUUUAUGUAAUUGCAUGAAAGGUUGCGGUAAAAACAUGAUUUUGGUCCAUUAAUCCAACUAUAUGACCAUCUAUCCCUUGCAUGGUUUUGGCUUAACCACCAAGAUCUAAUUUUUAUGACACUAGGUUCUUCAAAGAGUCCAAAAGGACAUCUCUUAAGCUUUGGAACCAACAAUACUCAAACACUCCCAACUACGGGGUCCAAAAAACAUAAUAAAAAACCCAAAUAACAAAUCUAAGCAUACUAUUGUCAAAUAUGGAUCUUGAUGUUGGAUUAAUGUCUAAUUCCAUAACUAUAUUUGGUAUGUACUUGACCCGACCUGGCAUGGUCCAUUUGGGUUGCACUUCACCGACACAAUUUAUAUGGAUAAUUAUUUGAGAAUAGUAUGUUUAUGAUUAAUAUUAAUAUAUUAUAAGUUCUAAUAUAUUAAUAUGGAAUCAUAUUAUUUAAUUAGUAUUGAUCAAGAAUUAAUUUAUAAUUAAUUAAGUGAUCAAAAGGAACUAAUUAAAUAUGGACUCUUAUAUAUAUGGAAUGGGCCAAGUUCAUUUAGGUUGGGCUAAGCUUUCAUGGAUAGUCCAUGGAGUGUUUAACCGAUGGAUCAUAUGAAAUGAAAGGUCAUGGGUUUAACCCUAGUCUCCAUACUAUAUAAAGAUGUCCUUGGUUGGUGAAAUUGGCACUAGUGUGGUACACUAAGAAGGGCUAGCCAAUUUCACUAGAGAGAACCAAGUAUCCAUAUUCUCUAAAGUCUUCCAAGGUGUUUUGGUGAUUUGUGAUUCCAUUUGAGGCUUCCACACUAUUGGGGCUAAGCUCUUAAAGCUUGAAGACAUCAAGCUACAUCAAAAGGUAUGUCAUCUAACUAGUACCUUGUAGUAUAAGAACUUCAUAAUAUGCUAGUUAGGAUUAAAGCCUUAGAAAGUUCUUAUUUGCAUGUAUUAUAGAGAAAACAUAGAUCCAAGGUUUAUAGGGUUGCAUGUACACCAUAGGAGUGUUAGAAUGCUCAAAACCCAACAGUGGUAUCAGAGCCACGGGUUGUUUUCUGUUAUAUUGAUGCAAAUAUUUUAUUUUCAAAGUUGAAAAAAAAAAAAAAAAAAAACAUGAAGUUUGUCAAAUUUUAAGAUAAUUACUUGUUCUUGUGAAAAACUAAUUAUUUGUAAAAUUUGAAUAAUUUGCUUUAUGAGUUGAAUUAGGUCAAAUUUAAUAAAAGAUAAAAUAAUAUGAUUAUUUUAUUAGUUUUAAAAGUUUGAUCUAAAGAGUUUUAUUUUUUGAAACCUCCAUAAGUUAUGGAUAUGAAAAGGUUUUAAAAAAAAAAUUGAUUCAAAGUUUUUUUGGAGUUACAAAAUUUGGUGUUAAUGUUUUAAAGGAUUCCAUAACUUAAGAAUAAGUUAUGGAUCACCAAAAGUUUUUUGUGUUACCUUGUUUUAUGAGUGAAUUUAGAUUAAUGAAUAAAAUUAUGUGAUAGUUGGUUUUAAUCCAAAUUAAUCUAAGAAUUGAUUCUAAAAUGUGUUUUUGUAACUUGUCCUCAAGUUAUAUGAAAAGUC
rnacentral:lncRNA from 1 species